rnacentral:rRNA from 1 species
GGGUGCUAACAUGCAAGUCGCACGAGAAAGGGGAGCAAUCCCUGAGUACAGUGGCGCACGGGUGAGUAACACGUGAAUGAUCUACCUCCGAGUGGGGAAUAACUGAGAGAAAUCUUGGCUAAUACCGCAUAAUACCCACGGGUCAAAGCAGCAAUGCGCUUGGAGAGGAGUUCGCGGCCGAUUAGCUAGUUGGCGGGGUAAUGGCCCACCAAGGCGAUGAUCGGUAUCCGGCCUGAGAGGGCGCACGGACACACUGGAACUGAAACACGGUCCAGACUCCUACGGGAGGCAGCAGUGGGGAAUUUUGCGCAAUGGGGGAAACCCUGACGCAGCAACGCCGCGUGGAGGAUGAAGCCCCUUGGGGUGUAAACUCCUUUCGAUCGGGAAGAUAAUGACGGUACCGAUAUAAGAAGCCCCGGCUAACUUCGUGCCAGCAGCCGCGGUAAUACGAGGGGGGCAAGCGUUGUUCGGAAUUAUUGGGCGUAAAGGGUGCGUAGGCGGUUUGACAAGUCUGAUGUGAAAUCUAUGGGCUCAACCCAUAGUCUGCAUCGGAAACUGUCGGGCUUGAGUAUGGGAGAGGUGAGUGGAAUUUCCGGUGUAGCGGUGAAAUGCGUAGAUAUCGGAAGGAACACCUGUGGCGAAAGCGGUCACUUGGACCAUUACUGACGCUGAGGCACGAAAAGCUAGGGGGAGCAACAGGAUUAGAUACCCU